rnacentral:tRNA from 3 species
GGGGGCGUAGCUCAGCUGGGAGAGCACCUGCCUUGCAAGCAGGGGGUCAGCGGUUCGAUUCCGCUCGUCUCCA